AGUGAACGCUGGCGGUAGGCCUAACACAUGCAAGUCGAACGGCAGCACAGUAAGAGCUUGCUCUUACGGGUGGCGAGUGGCGGACGGGUGAGGAAUACAUCGGAAUCUACUUUUUCGUGGGGGAUAACGUAGGGAAACUUACGCUAAUACCGCAUACGACCUACGGGUGAAAGCAGGGGAUCUUCGGACCUUGCGCGAUUGAAUGAGCCGAUGUCGGAUUAGCUAGUUGGCGGGGUAAAGGCCCACCAAGGCGACGAUCCGUAGCUGGUCUGAGAGGAUGAUCAGCCACACUGGAACUGAGACACGGUACAGACUCCUACGGGAGGCAGCAGUGGGGAAUAUUGGACAAUGGGCGCAAGCCUGAUCCAGCCAUACAGCGUGGGUGAAGAAGGCCUUCGGGUUGUAAAGCCCUUUUGUUGGGAAAGAAAAGCAGCAGGUUAAUACCCCGCUGUUCUGACGGUACCCAAAGAAUAGGCACCGGCUAACUUCGU
rnacentral:rRNA from 1 species